rnacentral:rRNA from 1 species
CAGCAGCCGCGGUAACACGUAGGUCCCGAGCGUUGUCCGGAUUUAUUGGGCGUAAAGCGAGCGCAGGCGGUUAGAUAAGUCUGAAGUUAAAGGCUGUGGCUUAACCAUAGUACGCUUUGGAAACUGUUUAACUUGAGUGCAAGAGGGGAGAGUGGAAUUCCAUGUGUAGCGGUGAAAUGCGUAGAUAUAUGGAGGAACACCGGUGGCGAAAGCGGCUCUCUGGCUUGUAACUGACGCUGAGGCUCGAAAGCGUGGGGAGCAAACAGGAUUAGAUACCCCGGUAGUCCCUGUCUCUUAUACA